UUCUCUCCGAAGUCCUCCCGGCUUAUAAAAGCUGCGGCCCCUCCGUCGCUGGAUUCCCCCGCAACAACCCGACCCGUCUUCACCGGCGCUGCCUCCUCCGUCACCAUCUCUGCCACCUCGGCAACGCGCCUGCAAGUAAUAGUCCGAGAAUUCAUUACGUUGGAGCAUGGACUAAGUUGCUUGCAACAAAUCCUCCAUUGAAUUAUUAUUAUUUUUUUCCCUUUUUCUUUUUUCUUCUUUUCAAAGUAGGUUCCUGGAUCCUAGCUAUGUUGCUUGGUGCCAAACGAGGUUCUGUUUAUCCGUAUAUAUUACUCAGAAAAUUCUACAAAAUAAACAAGAAGAAAAUGGGAUUCCUCUUCCAGUCACAACAAUCAAUGGUUUUCCCCACAAUUUUAUAAGUAUUUUUAGAAUAAAUAAAAAAGAUAUAUAAUUAUUUAUUUUAAUUUUUUAUUUGUAUUUUUCUUGUUGGGAAAAUUUUGCGUGCAACGCCGGGGAGAUCACGCCACGUGUUAUUCCAGGUGGGACCCACCUUCGCUUUCUGACUUGCCAGCCUUGGCGGGACCCACUUGUUAAACGAAGUGGAUGUACGAAUUUAGGCAUUCAAUUCCUAGGUCGCAUUGAUCUCGUGGUUCUCGUUUCCCCACGUCGACUCCAACUUGGUCCCAGUGUCGACCCCAACUUGCUCCUCCGAGAAAUUAUUGGCUGGACCACGCCGAAGUAGAAGACCAGCGCAUAUAUGGAGCACGUGCACGGUGGAUAAGACGCAAUCCGGAAUUCGUGAAAUAGAAGGCUUAAUGUGGCGUGUUAUCCACCGUGGGAUUUGGUCCCCACGUCUCUUGCAAUGAAAAAAUUACUGAUCGGGUGGGUCCCGUUUAGGUGUGUGAAUGGGUGCGUGGACGUGGAUGGAUGCAUCGUACCCGCCACGUAACCGUGUAGCUUUGCCUGUGGGACCCAGGUAACUUUCAAUGUGGCAAAAAUUAGUGGUGGAUAAAUAUUGGAAUCUUGGUCCGAUUUACGUUAAUGCAUGCAGAUCCAUGCAAGCUUCCAAAAGCACCAAUCGACCAUGCUGGUCUUCGGGUUGGCGAACACAAAAGGGACUUGAAACCCUUUUCACCUUUUAUGAGAUAUGGCAAGGUAGCUCGCCAUAUCCAGUGUUUGGUUUUGCUUCUUCAUGUAUCUACGGGAGAGGUCUGGGCUGGUCUACAAGCGCGAAGGUUCUAGAUUCAUGGAUAGUCUAAAUAUGUCACCGUGAUGUUAGAUAGCAAUGAAAAAUUUCUCAGACUAUGACUAUUUUUUCUUA